UACGUAGGGUGCGAGCGUUAAUCGGAAUUACUGGGCGUAAAGCGUGCGCAGGCGGUUCGUUGUGUCGGCGGUGAAAUCCCCGGGCUCAACCUGGGAAUGGCCGUUGAAACUGGCGAACUGGAGUGUGGCAGAGGGGGGUGGAAUUCCGCGUGUAGCAGUGAAAUGCGUAGAGAUGCGGAGGAACACCGAUGGCGAAGGCAGCCCCCUGGGCUAACACUGACGCUCAUGCACGAAAGCGUGGGGAGCAAACAGG
rnacentral:rRNA from 1 species